rnacentral:rRNA from 1 species
UACGUAGGGUGCAAGCGUUAAUCGGAAUUACUGGGCGUAAAGCGUGCGCAGGCGGUUGUGCAAGACAGAUGUGAAAUCCCCGGGCUUAACCUGGGAACUGCAUUUGUGACUGCACGGCUAGAGUGCGGCAGAGGGGGAUGGAAUUCCGCGUGUAGCAGUGAAAUGCGUAGAUAUGCGGAGGAACACCGAUGGCGAAGGCAAUCCCCUGGGCCUGCACUGACGCUCAGGCACGAAAGCGUGGGGAGCAAACAGG